rnacentral:rRNA from 1 species
CAGUAGCCGCGGGAAUACAGAGGAUGCAAGCGUUAUCCGGAAUGAUUGGGCGUAAAGCGUCUGUAGGUGGCUUUUCAAGCCCGCCGUCAAAUCCCAGGGCUCAACCCUGGACAGGCGGUGGAAACUACCAAGCUGGAGUACGGUAGGGGCAGAGGGAAUUUCCGGUGGAGCGGUGAAACGCGUUGAGAUCGGAAGGAACACCAACGGCGAAAGCACUCUGCUGGGCCGACACUGACACUGAGAGACGAAAGCUAGGGGAGCAAAUGGGAUUAGAUACCCGUGUAGUCCCUGUCUCUUAUAC